UGUUGAUGUUCAUCAGGGAGACGCCAGGGAUGUUGCGGAAUGCUUUACGGAUACCCUGUAAAUUAUUGCAUAAUUCAUACAGAAAUUUUUCAUAAUCUGUUCGCUUUGAUUAACUCCAUCAACUUUUCAGAAAAUAUACUUUAAGAGAAGAAUGUUUACCUGAUCUUGGCCAUAUACAAUCAGAGGUCCACGUCGCUGAAUGCGUCGGCGAUUACGCAUUUUACCUUUACCAGCACGAAAACGUUGAGACUUGUAGACCUAAUAAAAAAUAAACAAUAUAAUUUAAAAAAA